rnacentral:lncRNA from 1 species
GUAAGACUCUCAAUCAUCUCUGCUUCUCCAUUUUAUUGUUCAUCUUCUUCUUCACCAGCAAUAUUUUGAAGGUUUAACAGAGAGAAAGAUCAUGGGAAUAUAUGGAAUGGUGACUGGAAAAGCGGGAAAGAGAUCAGCUUCAACAGCUGAAGAUGUCACUCAGUCCAUUGAUGAAAGAGUGGAUUUGGAUCAGCUUCAACAGCUGAAGAUGUCACUCAGUCCAUUGAUGCCAAUCAUCUCACUGCCAUCGUUACAGGU